rnacentral:rRNA from 1 species
UACGAAGGGUGCAAACGUUGUUCGGAAUCACUGGGCAUAAAGCGCACGUAGGCGGUCUGUUAAGUCAGGUGUGAAAGCCCCCGGCUCAACCGGGGAACAGCAUCUGAUACUGGCAGACUCGAGGAUGGUAGGGGUGAGUGGAACUCCAGGUGGAGCGGUGAAAUGCGUAGAUAUCGGGAAGAACACCCGUGGCUAAGGCGGCUCUCUAGUACGGUACUGACGCUGAGACGCGAAAGCGUGGGGAGCGAACAGG